rnacentral:rRNA from 1 species
UUUACUAGGGAGAGCGACGGGCGAUGUGUACACACCCCAGAGCUUUUUUCAGUGUUCUUUGCUAAACGACACUUACUGCCAAAUCCACCUUCUAGUUUUUUUACAUUUACUUUCCGUAUAAUUAAAAGUUAUUGUAACCCACCUCCUCUUUUUCAUAAGCUGCACCUUGACCUGAAGUCCUUAAAAAUUUUAUUUUAGAUAAUAUUUUUUAAAAAUUAUCUGGCAACGGCGGUAUACAAGCUUCAUUAGAAAAAGUAAGUUGUAGCGUGGAUUAUCGAUUAUGGGGCAGGUUCCUCUGGUAAGAUGGGGUGCCGUCAAAUUCUUUGGGUUUGAAGAUUCUCUUUUACUACCCGAGCGA